UGUCUCUCUCUCCCUCCCUCCCUCCCUCCCUCUCUUUCCCUCUCCCCACAAAUCUUCCUGGCCCCUUUCCCAGUUUUGGCUCCGGGCAGUGAGAAAUUAACACUGAUUGAGUUCAGGCAACAACAAGUCGGAGGUUUUUCCCCCGAAUAAGUAAUCAGUGACCGCUCUGAAUCACCGACGACAGCACAACCACCAUUUCACUUUCAGGACGUGGGGGACGUGCGGUCUCCGUCGGCCAGCCCCGAGUGCGCGUCCGUUGGUCCCGUAACUCACUCUCCCCCGAAGUCCCCGCGGGACUCUCCCGGGCGGCGCAGCGCGGCGGGUCAGCGCCCCGGGCCCCAGUUCCGGAGCCGGCCCCCGCUUCCAGCCGUCCGGGCCGAGCCCCCCGGGCGCGCGCCCUCCCCGCCCCCCCCCCGGACCCCGGGCCGUGCAGCCGCGCCCCUCCCCGCUUCUUGGGGCUCCCCAGCCGAGGGUUUGGCCGCAGGCAGGGCUGGGAGGAGCCCGAGGAGGCCGCCAAGUUUUGCCCGGAGCAGCUUCCCCGGGAGGCUCAGAAGUGCCGAGUCAGCGCCGGCCGCCGCCGUUCCCAUUUCUGCAGCAGGAGCCCGAGGGACAGCCCCCACCCCUUCCCCGCUUCCUCCUCCCCCUCCCUCUCUCCUCCUCCCCUCAGCCGCCUUUAAUCCCAGCCUCCCACCCCGACGCCGAGCAGUCCGGAGCGCUGAACUCCCGGGCCCAACGACACCCCUCUGACACCCCUCGGACACCCCUCGGACCCCCCUCGGACACCCCGGGCCGCUCCUGCGGAGGCGAGCUCCUGUCCGGGAGCCGGGGCCAGGUGGGGAGCGCAGGUGAGAGCGAGGAGCGGCACCUCCGCGCCCGGCGCCCGCCCCCAGACUCCGAAGGACGCCAGGUUCCUGGGGGACCCCGUCUCCCCGAGCGGCCGAGCAGAUCCUGACUGAGCCCCCAGCUAAGCUGCCCCCUGCCUUGGAAGGAUGGAAGCCCAGGAGAGUGCUGUCCAGUACAGCCGAUGGAGCAACAGCCAGGAUGAGGUCAGCAUGAAUGUGUCCGCCUCGGAGAGCUCGGGCUGUGAGCGGAUCUACACCAAGCUUUGCACUGGGAAGCUGGGCAUUGCCCUGAAGUUGGUAGGCGGAAUCAUUCUGUUCUGGGUCAUCUUCAUCAUCGGCUAUGUCACCGGCUACUACAUCCACAAGUGCAAGUAGCCCUCGUCUGAGCUGCCGGACAACUUUGCAAGCCCUCCGACCGCCCAGAGACCUCUUGCUUCCUGGCUCAGACCACCGGGACAGACUGGCCCCUGGGGGCACAGCCACCUAUAGAUAUAGACACCCACACCCACACAUAUACAUACAGGGACAGAUCUAUGGACAAAUACUGAGGCCCUUUUCAGAGAAAGAGAAACACAUUCCUAGUGUGGAAGGCACACACUGAAACAGACACUGGACAGGGGAGGAGACGCACAGACACUAACACGGAGACCCUCACCCACAUCUCUCUCCCGCCCCGGCCCAGGAUAGAACUCCAGACCAAGCCAGUCACAUCCCAUCCUUGCCCUGCCGCAUCCCACCCCAGGGGGAGGCUCACAUUCAGUUACCGAAGCCCAGGACUGUAUCCCCUACUCAUCCCUUCUUCCUCGCCGACCAGACGACCGCUUCUUUUGGACCUAUGACUGCCCUAAACAGCCAGAGGUCUGAGGAAGAUGGGAGGAGCCAGAGCCCAGUUUUCUCCCUCAGAAACCCCUCUGCCAUUCUGGUUUAUGUUCAGAACAGGAGUCAGACCCAGGAUUUCUACCCAUCCUUGUCCCAGGGAAUUCUAUCCCCUGGCCUGCCCUGAAGGAAGAAAAUCCCAGUGAAAAUGAGUUGGGGGUCUGAUCUCUCUGAUGGCCCCUAGUCGCAGGUGCACAAAGAUUUUCAGAGCCAGGAGAAGCCGUCUCCAUCCUGAGGAGCCUUCCCUCCUGAUCCAUGAUCUUACCCACAAGGCAGAGGCUGAGCCACGGAGGACUGGGGCGUUCCGGGGUUGGCCCAUCCCUCUAACCCACUCCCCCAAUCUUCUCGUGCCUUUCCAGAGAAAGGCCUUGGACUGGAAGGAUUCUUUCUUAAUAAACACCCACUUGUGUGACCUCAAGC
ensembl:lncRNA